ensembl:lncRNA
CCGUUCCAAUUAUUCCAUUCCAGUUAUUGCAAUGAGCUCGUCCUCCUAUAUCUCCCCCCACCAGCCUAUUCACUACACCAGUGAGAUGUUCCAGGAGGCAGAGAGAGCGAUUGAAGAAGAGAUGCUGAGAGAGAACAAAGAGAAGAGAUGCAGAGAGAUGGAAGAACUGAAGGCAAUGUUUGAAGGAGAGCGACAACCUGAGGGAAAACAAUGAAAAAUUGGCUAAAAAGAAACUGCUUUGUUAAGAGCAGGUGUUGGAGCAGACAUGGUUCCUGCAUGUGGAGCUGCUACACCAUAUGUGAACUGAUUGCCCUCCAUCUAUCUUCAGAGCUUGUGCUGCUAGGUGACCUAAACUGGCACAUGCACUAGCAUCGAACAGCCCCCGUGAUAUGCAGCUGCUCAGGGAAGCUAGAAACCAUUAUACACAGGCAGUUAGAAAAGCCAAGGCUAGCUUUUUCAAGCAGAAAUUUGCUUCCUGCAACACUAACUCAAAAAGGUUCUGGGACACUGUAAAGUCCAUGGAGAAUAAGAACACCUCCUCCCAGCUGCCCACUGCACUGAAGAUAGGAAACACUGUCACCACUGAUAAAUCCACUAUAAUUGAGAAUUUCAAUAAGCAUUUUUCUACGGCUGGCCAUGCUUUCCACCUGGCUACUCCUACCUCGGUCAACAGCACUGCACCCCCCACAGCAACUCGCCCAAGCCUUCCCCAUUUCUCCUUCUCCCAAAUCCAGUCAGCUGAUGUUCUGAAAGAGCUGCAAAAUCUGGACCCCUACAAAUCAGCUGGGCUAGACAAUCUGGACCCUUUCUUUCUAAAAUGAUCUGCUGAAAUUGUUGCCACCCCUAUUACUAGCCUGUUCAACCUCUCUUUCAUGUCGUCUGAGAUUCCCAACGAUUGGAAAGUCUUGGACCGACUCUCUUCUCUGUAUACAUCAAUGAUGUCGCUCUUGCUGCUGGUGAGUCUCUGAUCCACCUCUACGCAGACGACACCAUUCUGUAUACUUCUGGCCCUUCUUUGGACACUGUGUUAACAACCCUCCAGGCAAUCUUCAAUGCCAUACAACUCUCCUUCCAUGGCCUCCAAUUGCUCUUAAAUACAAGUAAAACUAAAUGCAUGCUCUUCAACCGAUCGCUGCCUGCACCUGCCCGCCUGUCCAACAUCACUACUCUGGACGGCUCUGACUUAGAAUACGUGGACAACUACAAAUACCUAGGUGUCUGGUUAGACUGUAAACUCUCCUUCCAGAUCCACAUCAAAAAUCUCCAAUCCAAAGUUAAAUCUAGAAUUGGCUUCCUAUUUCGCAACAAAGCAUCCUUCACUCAUGCUGCCAAACAUACCCUUGUAAAACUGACCAUCCUACCAAUCCUCUACUUCGGCGAUGUCAUUUACAAAAUAGCCUCCAAUACCCUACUCAACAAAUUGGAUGUAGUCUAUCACAGUGCAAUCCGUUUUGUCACCAGAGCCCCAUAUACUACCCACCGUUGCGACCUGUACACUCUCGUUGGCUGGCCCUCGCUUCAUACUCGUCGCCAAAAGUCCCCCCUUAUCUCAGCUCGCUGGUCACCAUCACCCACCUGUAGCACGCGCUCCAGCAGGUAUAUCUCUCUGGUCACCCCCAAAACCAAUUCUUUCUUUGGCCGCCUCUCCUUCCAGUUCUCUGCUGCCAAUGACUGGAACGAACAACAAAAAUCUCUGAAACUGGAAACACUUAUCUCCCUCACUAGCUUUAAGCACCAACUGUCAGAGCAGCUCACAGAUUACUGCACCUGUAUGUAGCCCACCUAUAAUUUAGCCCAAACAACUACCUCUUUCCCUACUGUAUUUAUUUGAUUUAUUUUGCUCCUUUGCACCCCAUUAUUUUUAUUUCUACUUUGCACAUUCUUCCACUGCAAAUCUAUGACUCUGUGUCGUUGUAUGUGUCGAACUGCUUUGCUUUAUCUUGGCCAGGUCACAAUUGUAAAUGAGAACUUGUUCUCAACUUGCCUACCUGGUUAAAUGAAGGUGAAAUAAAAUAAAUAAAUAAAAUAAAUAUGGGAAUAGUUGGAGGACCAGUUGGUUCAUUAGUAGGAGCUGCAGUAAGAGUUGCAGAAGGAGCUGCAAUAGGAGCUGCAGUAGGAGCUGUAGUAGGAUCUGCAAUAGGAGCUGCAAUAGGAUCUGCAGUAGGAGAUGUAGUAGGAGCUGCAAUAGGAUCUGCAAUAGGAGCUGUAGUAGGAGCUGCAGUAGGAGCUGCAGUAGGAGCUGCAGUAGUAGUUGCAGUAGGGGCUGUAGUAGGAUCUGCAAUAGAAGCUGCAGUAGGAGCUGCAGUAGGAGCUGCAAUAGGAGCUGUAGUAGGAGCUGCAGUAGGAGUUGCAAUAGGAGCUGUAGUGGGAGCUGCAGUAGGAGCUGCAGUAGGAGAUGCAGUAGGAGCUGCAGUAGGAGAUGCAGUAGGAGCUGCAGUAGGAGAUGCAGUAGGAGCUGCAGUAGGAGCUUCAGUAGGAGCUGUAAUAGGAUCUGCAAUAGGAGCUACAAUAGGAUCUGCAGUAGGAGCUGCAGUAGGAUCUGCAGAAGGAGCUGCAGAAGGAGCUGCAGUAGGAGCUGCAGAAGGAUUUGCAGUAGGAUCUGUAGUAGGAUAUGUAGUAGGAUCUGCAGUAGAAUCUGCAGUAGGAGCUGCAGUAGGAUCUGCAGAAGGAGCAGCAGAAGGAGCUGCAGUAGGAGCUGCAGUAGGAGCUGCAGAAGGAGCUGCAGUAGGAGCUGCAGUAGGAGAUGCAAUAGGAGCUGCAGUAGGAGUUGCAGUAGGAGAUGCAAUAGGAGCUGCAAUAGGAGCUGCAAUAGGAGCUGCAGUAGGAGAUGCAAUAGGAGCUGCAGUAGGAGUUGCAGUAGGAGAUGCAAUAGGAGCUGCAAUAGGAGCUGCAGUAGGAGCUGCAGUAGGAGAUGCAAUAGGAGCUGCAGUAGGAGUUGCAAUAGGAGCUGCAAUAGGAGCUGCAGUAGGAGCUGCAGAAGCAGCUGCAGAAGGAGCGUUGAAGGUUUCACACAUGAGAGAAGCUGUGAAAAAUAUAUGCUUGAUGAUACAAUGAAUUUGCUGUGCUAUCUAUCAGCCUGUCUGUUCCAGUUAAACAUCAUCCAAGUAUAAGAAAUUGCAUUAAGAUUAUAUUAUGACAUAUUUCAUGUAUCUUCAAUAUGGGGAUGAUGGCUAUUGAAUUUAUUCAAGGGAUGUGGGCUAAUACAGUUUGUUGUUGUUGUUGUUUUGGUGCAAUAGGCAUUGCUAUGCUUUUAGAUAGCUAUGGGGUUGGUUGUUCUGUUUAUGUUGUCUGCUGUUCAAUAAAGUUUCAUGAGAUCAAUGCAGAUUAUGUUCUAUGUUCAUUAUGUCAACGCACAACUUCUUUUCAAAGCCUUUUGUUGCUUGGGCCUAUCAUGAGUGGGCCUAUCAUGCAACAGGAGCCAUGAUUGGAGGAAAAGUAGCAGAGAUGUUUCACUUCUGGUUGCAGUUCUCCAUGGUAUCCACUAGAUGGUACCAAGCCA